GAUGAAGAACGUAGCGAAAUGCGAUAAGUAAUGUGAAAUGCAGAAUUCAGUGAAUCAUCGAAUCUUUGAACGCACCUUGCGCCCUUUGGCUAUUCCGAAGGGCAUGCCUGUUUGAGUAUCAUGAACACCUCAACUCUCAUGGUUUGCCAUGAUGAGCUUGGACUUUGGGGGUCUUGACGGCCUAUGGGUCGGCUCCUCUCAAAUUAAUCAGCUUGCCAGUGUUUGGUGGCAUCACAGGUGUGAUAACUAUCUACGCUUGUGGUUUUCCAUCAGGUAACCUUCAGUGAUGGAGGUUCGCUGGGGCUCAUAAAUGUCUCUCCUCAGUGAGGACAGCUUUUUUGAACGUUUGAUCUCAAAUCAGGUAGGACUACCCGCUGAACUUAAGCAUAUCAAUAAGCGGAGGA
rnacentral:misc_RNA from 1 species